rnacentral:piRNA from 1 species
UGGAAAAUUAGACUACAAACCAGACU